rnacentral:tmRNA from 1 species
GGGGACGACUGGUUUUGACAGCGAGUGGAAUUGGACAGUAAGCACGUCGAGCGCUGGGACACAGCUCGUAAAUAUCAUGUUUCAAACUUAUAAACGGCGAAAAUAAUUACGCUUUAGCUGCUUAAUCCGAAUUAUAGUACGAUUUGCCUAGUUCCGACAAGGUCGGAAAGCUGGAUUCUCCUCAAAAGCCUUGGUUUAUGGCGUUUGGAAUAGGGGAACCGUAAAAGUAAACCUAGGAACGGUAAUGCUUUAAAUCCGUUCUGACACUGAUAAAGCUAAGCAAAAAGUGGCGGUUUCCGGCCUUGCUUUUUGUCGAAAAUUUAAUCGGAAACUAAGCGUGUAGAAAGCUCUUCGAUUGCUUGUUUGGACGAGAGUUCGAUUCUCUCCGUCUCCACAU